rnacentral:rRNA from 1 species
AGUGAACGCUGGCGGUAGGCCUAACACAUGCAAGUCGAACGGCAGCACAGUAAGAGUUCGCUCUUACGGGUGGCGAGUGGCGGACGGGUGAGGAAUACAUCGGAAUCUACUAUUUCGUGGGGGACAACGUAGGGAAACUUACGCUAAUACCGCAUAUGACCUACGGGUGAAAGCAGGGGAUCUUCGGACCUUGCGCGAUUGAAUGAGCCGAUGCCGGAUUAGCUAGUUGGGGGGGUAAAGGCCCACCAAGGCGACGAUCCGUAGCUGAUCUGAGAGGAUGAUCAGCCACACUGGAACUGAGACACGGUCCAGACUCCUACGGGAGGCAGCAGUGGGGAAUAUUGGACAAUGGGCGCAAGCCUGAUCCAGCCAUACCGCGUGGGUGAAGAAGGCCUUCGGGUUGUAAAGCCCUUUUGUUGGGAAAGAAAAGCAGCAGGUUAAUCCCCCGCUGUUCUGACGGUACCCAAUGAACAAGCACCGGCUAACUUCGUG